rnacentral:lncRNA from 14 species
AUUUUCGUGUGCCUUUCUACAAAAAUUUUCACUUGGACUAGACAUGCAUUACAUCUAAAGCACAUUUGGGUUUGGGACAGUAUUGGAAAAAGAAUGAGAAGGACAAUUAGUACCAAAGUUUGAGAAUCUACUCAGACUUUCUCCCUCUAAAACAUUUCUGCAAUAAAUAGGCCUGACUUUU